CACCUGAGCAUGUGCAUCUGAUGGGGGUAAUCUGGUGUUUCAUCUAUUUCCUUUUUUGAAAUGCAAUAACCAGAUUGAUUGAACAUAUCAAUGCACCAAAUGUUCCUGCUUAUCAUAGGCAGGUGAUGUUCAAUUUUCUCUCCUUGAUGCUGUUGUGGGUUUCACUCUAAUCAUCUUAACACAAAAUAUGCAUUUGGUUUGUCAUAGUCCGUGUUUGUUGUUUAUUGUUACACUGCUUCUAUUUUGGUAUUCGACAAGGCACCUUUAAAUUUAAUGUUUGAACCACAACUAUGGUUUGUUGAAAGGAACGGCUACAUCAUCAGCUUACCUGAUUCAAGUUCUGGUUAUAAGUACAAAUUUCUAACAACUGGAAAAUACAUUGCUGUGAUCUUGUAUACUAUUUACAUUCCUAGCACCCUUUCCUCAUGUACACAUUCACUGUUUUUGUAUUGAAUUUCUGAUUUUGUUAAUAGCAGUGUUGGUGGAGAAGACAUAAAAUUUAGCGUAAUGGUCAGUCUUUUCCAGUGGAUACAGGAGAAGAAGCGGUCCAAGUUCCGGAAGUUUGUAGAUACCUUCUGCAGGAAGCCUCAGGACAAUUUUGCAUCCAUGUGACUCACUUUUAUGGCCUUAAGGAGCACGUGCUAGCCACUUGCCUCAUUGACGUACUUUCCAUGUCCGGCGACUCUGAUGAUGCCCGCCAUCUCCUCAACUGGCGGAAAGGCGGCCCUAAAACUGCCUAAAAUUCCGGCAACUUCUCUCUUGUUGCCACUGAGACAGAAAGCCCAACGAAGCAUUAUGUCCAAGUGGAAGAGCUGCUAGAACUGAUCUUUUAUGAUCAGGUCCGUUGUAUAUCUUUUUUCCCCUUAUGCUGCAUCUCCUAAAUCAGUAAAGCCACGAUAUAUCAGCUGGUCGGAUGACAGUGUUCUAGAUUUUGCAUUGAUUUGGAACACCUAAUUCAAAGCAUUGAUGGACACUACUUUCAACUCAAGGAUCACUCGCAGCCCUUUGAAAUAUAUCCGUUGUAGUCAUUGGCAACCAUGUACAUCCAAGAUUGUAAGCAUUAAGAAGAACAUUUCUACUUGCAAGAGUAAUGUUGUUCUGCCAAGCAGCAAAACUUGUUUCUAUUCAAAGAAGUGAGGCAAUUCUGCCUAAGAUCACUGCCAUUCAUGUUCCUGCAACUUGCAGCAUGGUCAUUUCUCCAUCUCACUCAGAUGAAUCAUUAGUAUCCAUGGAUGAAUCUAUGUCAACUUCUGACACAGUGAGAACUCCAGAGGUUGAAUACAUAGAUGACAUGAAUUGGCUGCAGUUGAUUCCAUCGAGAAGAAGGCGUGUAGCACCCUCUACAUCUCAGAACAUGUCAAAGCAGCAGCAGUUAUAUGCAAGAGAGAUUUACUUGUGGACUUGGAAUCAGGGGAUAAAAUUGUCAACGUUGAUAAAUUAUGCGCUACAAUGGGCCUGCGAGGAAGGAGAGCAAGGGCAGUUGCCUGUCUUGGUAUUAAGCAUGAAGGAAACUGAUAAGAAAAAGAGGCCAGCUUUUGUCUUCCUACAUAGUACAAACAAAUGUAAAGAGUGGUUACGGACGGCCAUUACUAUAGGCAUAUGCUUCGAGGGGAUACAUAGCUGUAGCAAUUGAUUCUCGAUACCAUGGACACCAAUAUGACAACAUAUCGUGAUGUAAGAACAGGUGUGGGACUUGAUAAAACUGGUGGAUUAUAUAUCUAACAGAGAGGGAAGAUGUUGACUCGUCAAGGAUAGAAUUACUGGUGAAUCACUUAGAGAUUAGGCUAGUCACUUUACAUGCAAUAUCUAACUGUUUCUUAAACAUGUGGAGUUCAUAUAUGUUUUGUGUUGCAGGUAUGCAUGCAUGGUUUGCUGCUAACUUUAAUUGAAUUGCAGUUUUACUAACAUUUGUUGUCAAACAUGUUUUAUCUUUGAUCAUUGUACUAGGCGAAAGUACAAAAAGACAUAAAUCCUAGCAUGCAUGCUAUCUUCCAGUCCUACUGCUGCAUCUGCCAAACCUUGCAAAGUAGGUACUCUUCCAACCUACAAUAUCAGUUUCAAGUGUGAUGAAAGAGCUGAGAAAAGGAAAGAGAAUUGUGGUUGCAAAUUUUAAAACAUUAUAGAGCAUGAUGGAUGUUGUCAAAUAACAUAGUUGUUUCUGGAAAUGGGUUGGUUGGAAAUGGAGUUCACCAACUUCCAAAAGUUGUUGCUGGCAUACCCAAUGGGAUGCCUCAUGCAAGUUCCACUAAUGAAGAACAGAGGAGUUUCCAGAGCACUAUCAUAUUGACUGAUAGUGAAACAGUUCGAUCUUAUGUCCAAGAGGUCAAUAAUGAAACUACAAUUACUGUAGAAAGCAAUGUUGGUGUCAGUUCCAAGGUAAGGAAGUUUUUCCUGAGUUUUUACUUACCAAGGACAAGCCCAGAGAUUGAGGCUAAUGCGAGGAGGAAAAUCCUGACAUAGAUUAGAUAUUAGGAAAAAUACUAAUGAAACCUUUAAUGGGCUUGGUUUAUCACUACUGCUAAUGGUCUUCUUGCCAAAACAUGGUAUUGUAUAUAGGUGAAAUAUCAUUUUAUUUGUACACUUGUUCAAUCCCCUGCACACUUGCUAGAUAGCAUGAAAAUCCUUGCUCCACCACUAUAGUCUUCUUCUUUCCUUGUGGUCAAUUAUGAAAUUAUAUUGGUAAAUGAUAAUACUUUAUGCAAUU